UGGAUCGAUAAUAACUGGCUUUUGAAGAGGAAUUUUAAAAGGAUCUAGCUAUUAAAAAAAAUUGAAUUGUUCAUCUUCAAUGUCAAAUGAAACUACUGCUUUGGAAAGUCUAUCUUCAAUACCUGCAGAAUCAGUAACCCAAUGAAAUGCCUAUUUUAAAGGUCAGAUGAAAUAAUGAGCAGAGAUACCAAAGAGUAUCAGUGGAUCAUUGAAAUGAGGGGCACUUGAUCAGGCUCAUGACAUGGAAGAGUUGUUACAUCAUGUGCACUACGACAAUUAGGAUAUUGGACAAAUGAUCUUCCUAUAAUGACAACAUAUGAGAGCAUUUUUUUUUUAUGACCCUAAAAUCCAGGAACGGAAGAACACUCCAGUUUUUUGUAUUUCACUACAUUCCGCCAUUAUGUUGAAACUUUGGAAACAGUCACCUGGGAUAUUGAAUAUUCAGGAAGGGCUGUCCAGUGAUGUAAUUCCCUGCCCUUGCAUAGUGUAUCUAUUAACACUGCAUGAUCUAAUAUCUCUGAAGCAUUGUUGAAGAAUAUUAAAUUAUAACAUCCGGUUAAAAAUAUGAAAGGAAAUAUCUCCGUAAUAGUUUCAAAAUGUUACCGGCGGUUUAACACUAACUAAUGCUGCUUUUGUGAGCUUUUUCUACUUUACUUUGUAUAGCACACACUGUUCAGUUAAAGCAAUGGGGCUUUAGGGAGCUUAAUUUGCUCUAAUUUGCUUUGUAGCGCACACACUAUUCACUAAAACCUAAUGAGGCUUUUGGGAGGUUUGCUCUCUUUUGUAUUGUAGGGCACACACCAUGUUGAGUAAAAACUAAUGUAACAUGUGAUGGGAGCACAACGAUUUUUUGAAGUUGAUUACUAUUAGGUACAUAUUCUAUCAUGAGUAACCACCACGACAAUAAUGUCUGCAUUCCAUAUUUUAUAUAUAUAUAUUCGAAAUGAUAUGUCUUGUGUUGACUUAAUUUUUUUGGACCUAACCUACGUUGUGGUUGNCCUAUUAUUGUAUGAAUGUGUUUCCUAACACUAUAAUUACAUACACAGGAGGGUGACUUCCAGAUGGAUUCACCGCAUCUCUGAUUCUCCCUUUGCUUCCAAACAGUAAAUUUAAACUGAAAAUUAUUACUGAGAUAUGCCCAUCGAAGAACACGACAUUAGAUGUUUGUUACUUUAUUCCCUCUCCUCAAGUAUUUGCAUAUGCUUUCUAUAUAUGAAUCUUCUUCUGUUAUUAUGUUUUUUGUCUUUUGACAAUAUUAGUUCUGAAUAUUUGAUGCAGGGUCUUUACCGGUCACCAGAAAUUUCAUCACACAAUGUGAAACAGCGAAUUUUCGGAAAAUCCUAAUUGUCGUAGUGUAUAUGAUGUAAAAACUCUUCAAUGUCAUGAGCCUGAUCAAGUGCCCCUCAUUUCAAUGAUCCAGUGAUACACUGUAUCACUUUGGUAUCUCUGCUCCUUAUUUUAUCUGGCCUUUAACAUAGGAAUUUCAUUGGGUUACUGAUUCUGCAGAUAUUGAAGAUAGACUUUCCAAAGCAAUAGUGUCAUUUGACAUUGAAGAUGAACAAUUCAAUUUUUUUUACAUGGAUGGAUCCACCUAAAAUUCCUCUUGAAGAGCGAGUGAUUAUCGAUACAUUAAAUGACUCACUUUCACUGGUUGUUCCUCACAAAAGUUUUCUAAACUCAAGCUUUUAUAUAUGGGUGAUGGAUGACUAGGGGAAAUAGGUAUCUCUUGGACUAGGCGAUACAUCACCCGUCUAUAAAAGCUUGAGUUUAGAAAACUUGUGUAAGGAACAAUCACUGAAAGUGAGUCAUUUAAUGGAUCGAUAAUAACUGGCUUUUGAAGAGGAAUUUUAAAAGGAUCUAGCCAUUAAAAAAAAUUGAAUUGUUCAUCUUCAAUGUCAAAUGAAACUACUGCUUUGGAAAGUCUAUCUUCAAUACCUGCAGAAUCAGUAACCCAAUGAAAUGCCUAUUUUAAAGGUCAGAUGAAAUAAUGAGCAGAGAUACCAAAGAGUAUCAGUGGAUCAUUGAAAUGAGGGGCACUUGAUCAGGCUCAUGACAUGGAAGAGUUGUUACAUCAUGUGCACUACGACAAUUAGGAUAUUGGACAAAUGAUCUUCCUAUAAUGACAACAUAUGAGAGCAUUUUUUUUUUAUGACCCUAAAAUCCAGGAACGGAAGAACACUCCAGUUUUUUGUAUUUCACUACAUUCCGCCAUUAUGUUGAAACUUUGGAAACAGUCACCUGGGAUAUUGAAUAUUCAGGAAGGGCUGUCCAGUGAUGUAAUUCCCUGCCCUUGCAUAGUGUAUCUAUUAACACUGCAUGAUCUAAUAUCUCUGAAGCAUUGUUGAAGAAUAUUAAAUUAUAACAUCCGG
rnacentral:lncRNA from 1 species